CUUGCCUGUUUCCAUGGCUUGCUUCCAGGAGCUAAUGACUUCAUUUUGGUGUGGGAGUACUCCAGAGACAUGUGUCUGCCCUCAGUGAAUGCCUCGAGACUUCUGGAAUUUCCCUCACAGAUUUCCAUGGGCCCACUGAACACUGCAAAGGGACAAAAUGCCUCACAAAUUAUAUAGGACACUUUUGACCAAGUACUUCAAGCAUUUCUCAGACCUAUGAAAGAGCUCAAGGAAAAAAACUUGUUUUGAAGCUUCCUUUGAAAUUGAUGAAAGACCAGUGAAUUCUGAAGCAUGUUUAUCAAGGAAUGCUCCUACACAGCCAGUGAUCAUCUGGUCACCCAAAGCUUUGGUGGUGCAUUAAGAUCAUCAUGGAUGGGCACCAUCUGAAUAUCAGCCCAGACCACCUUAAGGAUAUAGCCAGAGACUGAUCCAGGUGGUAUGCGAUCCGCAAGCAGGCCACGUCCCUUUGAGGUUUGCCAUAAUGAUAAUUAUACUGCUAAAAAUAAAUGAACACUCAACCUCUUUCUGAGUUUCGGGAAGGGAGGACAAAAGCUCCACGGGUGAUUGUCAAGAUAGAAGGGUGCAGCGGAAGUCCCUUGUCUCCCAUGCAUCUGAGGGGAUGGCUUAUCAGACUUUCCCUUGCCGUAGGUGUCAUCCUGUACCUGGGAACAACUUUCUCAUUUCCCAACUCUGGGAUUAGGACUGGGUUUUGGGGCCUUGCUGUGCACAUUAUACCAGUCACCUUUUGCAGGCUGGGAAGGAAUUUUCCCUUCACUACCAGACUGGGAAGCAGCCCAGGCACCCAGUGGAUAGGUUAGGUUGCAAUGUAUUCAUAUUGGUGCAACUUCGUGGUGCUCAGUGCAGGUAUUUGUUCAAUAUGGGGUUUGGUUCACUGAUACACCAGAACUGGAAUAAAGUUCGGAGAAGGCAUCCCCUAAAAAAGGUGGGGAACAAGAGCGGAGCUCUGGAUGUCUGCUACAAUGAGAGGCCAAUCUGUUUUCCACAAACCCUCAACCCUCAGAUAAGGGGUGGGCCAUGGGGUCCCAGCAAUGGUGCUGGGACCAGGUGAAAGAUGUGUAUGGGAGAGAGGAGGGAGGCAAUGGCAGCCCUUCACCAGGCAGUAUGGAUUACAGAAGGAAGGAUGAGCUGCACUUGAUGACUUAUUGCUGGAUAGUUCCCAGAUAUGUGCAAUUAAUAAACUUGUGGCCUAGUUAA